GUAAUACUAUGGUGUGUAAUGCUUCUUUUGUUUGCAUUCCUAAAAUAGUGUUCUUACUCCUAUCGUUGGCUUUUGUGGGCCAUUUGAUGGUUAACGGCUACUUGGAU
rfam:Arcobacter marinus strain SH-4D_Col1 genome assembly, contig: Ga0139036_110